rnacentral:ribozyme from 1 species
AGUCGACUAUGCGACUAUAAAUAGGCUAUUAAGCAUAGUGCGUUAAAUAAGGUUAGC